rnacentral:misc_RNA from 1 species
GAUGAAGAACGCAGUGAAAUGCGAUAAGUAAUGUGAAUUGCAGAAUUCAGUGAAUCAUCGAAUCUUUGAACGCACCUUGCGCCCUUUGGUCAUUCCGAAGGGCAUGCCUGUUUGAGUAUCAUGAACACCUCAACUCUUUAUGGUUUUCCAUGAUGAGCUUGGACUCUGGGGGUUUUGCUGGCUCACAGUCGGCUCCUCUAAAAUGAAUCAGCUUACCAGUGUUUGGUGGGUAUCAUGGGUGUGAUAACUAUCUACGCUUGUGGUUUUUCCACCAGGUAACCUUCAGCAGUGGAGGUUCGCUGGAGCUCAUAGAUGUCUCUCCUCAGUGAGGACAGCCCUUUGAAUGUUUGAUCUCAAAUCAGGUAGGACUACCCGCUGAACUUAAGCAUAUCAAUAAGCGGAGGA